rnacentral:pre_miRNA from 15 species
AUUUCACCAUUGUUGGGCUUUGAGGAGAUGUAGCAGCACAUCAUGGUUUGUAGGGACAAGGAGAUACAGACCAUUCUGGGCUGCCUCAUUACCUCAAGGAUAGACAAGAAAGGGAGCU